rnacentral:rRNA from 1 species
CUGGCUCAGGAUGAACGCUAGCGGCAGGCUUAACACAUGCAAGUCGAGGGGCAGCGGGAUGUAGCAAUACAUUGCCGGCGACCGGCGGAUGGGUGCGUAACGCGUAUGCAACCUACCUUAUACAGGGGAAUAACCUUUCGAAAGGGAGACUAACACCCCAUAGUAUUGAUUUAAGGCAUCUUAGAUUAAUUAAAUAUUUAUAGGUAUAAGAUGGGCAUGCGUAUGAUUAGCUAGUUGGUAAGGUAACGGCUUACCAAGGCGACGAUCAUUAGGGGUUCUGAGAGGAAGGUCCCCCACACUGGUACUGAGACACGGACCAGACUCCUACGGGAGGCAGCAGUGAGGAAUAUUGGUCAAUGGGCGCAAGCCUGAACCAGCCAUGCCGCGUGCAAGGAAGACGGCCUUAUGGGUUGUAAACUGCUUUUACAUAAGACUAACCGUAUAUUUGCGAAUAUACCUGAAUGUAUUAUGAGAAUAAGGAUCGGCUAACUCCGUGCCAGCCGCGGC